AAAAAAAAAAGUUCUUUUUCCAUUAUUUUCUUAUUAUGUCCUCACCCAGGAUAAGAAUUCCAAUUCCAGUGAAACAGCAAAGGGUCAGAAUGACUUUAAAUGAAAGGAAUGGAGGUAUAUUUCUAUAUGUCCCCACUCAGGGCCUCUGGCUUCUUGCAGAAACCAGAACUUUUCCACAGAAUGUUUUUCUGUCCAAUACGCGGGGUCCCUAGUGAGGCAUAAAAUGAUGUCCUGUGGACCUCUCAGGCCACAGUGAUGGAUGGGUAGGGUGCUCAGUGUGGGGCCAGGUACACUGUGUGAGGUGUUGGGCAGGCACCCGCCCAUGUUCCUACCACUAUGAACAGCCUGGAGACCUUGCCCAGCCCUCCUCUCUCCCAGUUCUUGGGCUCCACUAUGGAGCAGUGUAUUCUGUCUGCUUCCCACUGCAAACAGAGACUGCCAUUGAGCCAUUUUCCUCCACACUGCACACAGUUUCUGCUGCCAAGAUGUCACCGUGCAACACAUUCCCUCACCCCCUCCUCUCUGGGGCUGGCCGAACAGAACCCUGCUGUCCCUGAGCACGUGCGUGAACGUGGGAUCAGCAGCCCAGCCCUCCCCAGCCCUCUGCAGAGCGGACCGCAGCGUGUUUGCCCAAGGGGUUCAGAGAGAGGACAGCUUGGGGGUGGUUCUAUUUUUCAGAUCUGGAUCAGCUCACGCCGCCUGCCAAGCUGCACCUUCUCUUUUGUGGGCAGGUUUUUCCUGGUUCUGCACAUAGCAGGUACUCCAUAAACGCAUGCCCUUCCCAGUGACCUGUCCCGCUGGCAAGUCCUCCAUGAGGUAACUUCUGCUGGGAGGGCAUCAUGGCCACAUGUGCAGCUUCUUUCUGUAGUUCUACCACCAGCUUGGGGCUUUUCCAACACAAACACGGCAGGGGCAAAGCAGGGGGCAGCUUCCUUUCUCCGCAGAGCAGUUCUCAAAGUUGCCCUUGACCCAGGCCUACAUGCAGCAGCCCCUCUGGGGCUGGGUGGAUGGAUGGCUGCUUCUGCAUUUCAGGAAUUUUCAGGUUUGCCCAGGUCAUGUAGGUGGGCCUUGGGAAGGAUUCGUGGGAAAGAGCUCGCACUACAUCAAUGCAAGCUUGUCCUUAGACCUGCCAGGUUGACCUUGGUGACAAAAAGGUGACCCCAAGGAGCAUCCCCCUGUAUGGCUUUCUAAAUAUGGGGAUGGGAAAUCUCCUUUCCCAGGAUGGGCUAGGUUGCCCCCUGGGGAUGGGGCUUCUCUGCCCUGACUGCAGAGGCUCCCCUGCUGAUUUCUGCUGUGUCACUGCCUUGAGAAGGACAUGUGAAACUGCUCAGGGGCUUAGCAGAGGGAGAUGAAACCAAGAAGUCUGGCUUUUCACGUGAGGCACAGGGGGUAAAGGAGGGGAAGGAAUAAUAGGUGCCAAGGGUUGCCUUGCAACUUCUCGCCGUUUGAACUGGACUUCCCUGAGCCUUUUAGGCCUUCGGUAUUUUAUAGGACAAAGUGGUCUUUUUGUGACCCCCCAGAACUGAACUGAAGGGAGCAUAAAACCAUGUCCGUGACAGUACCAGGCACCGAUUCGGCGCCAAGGAGAGUCCUGGGUGGCUGGGUCACCUGCAGAUUUUGUCGCCCAGGUCUAGACCGGUGUGAGCCGCCAGCCAGGCAGUACGACUGGUUUCCGAGGGAACAACCCACUGGGGUCUGACCGGUCGGUCUCCUACACCAUCUCAUCCCUUCCCAACCCCGGAUCCGGGCUGCCGCCCUGGGUGGGUUU
ensembl:lncRNA